GGCAAAAGGGCUUCCGGUCUGCGGGAAACUGGAGGCUAGCGGUGGGCGUGGACCGUCGAGGUGACUGGCGGCUGUCGGAUCUGCAGUUGUUUGCUGACCAGGCAGCCGUAGCAAGAAGGCGUGCUCUACUUCUGAUAUUAUCUGGAAGACUGUUCUAAAUGAAGCCACCAGGCAGCAGACGUGCAGCUGAAGCUGUCUUGGAGCCUGUAGACCAGCCCAUCCACCUGCUGAAUACCAGUGAGUGACCUACGUCAAAGCUACUAGAAGUGGAAUUGCCAGCUGAGCCCUGCCUAAAUUUCUGAGCCACACAAUCGUGAGAUACUAUAAAGUGUCCAAUAAUGGAGACAUUGCUGUGUUUGUGCCCACUUUACAAAUAGGGAAACAGAAUCACUAGGAGAAUGGUAGAAAUGCUGCACAAAACCAACUCAACUAUUUUCAUCUCACUUGAUAUAUGCACAAUCUACCAACACUGCUCACCUUGGGCUUAUUGAUCUGGUGACCACGAAGGUACCUGAAGGAGACUGCUGAUGACCUGAGACCCCAUGAGGAACACAGAUAAGGAAGUCUUGCUAUGUUGCCCAGGUUGAGCUCAAAUUCCUGGGCUGAAGCCAUCCUCCCACCUUGGCCUCCCGAGUAGCUGGGACUACAGGCAAGAGCCACUGCACCUGGCUCAACAUUGAGUUAGCAGCAGUGAAUCUGUACAAGUCUGCAGCAACUCAAUUCUUGCCUCCUUAAAAGAAAGAAUUCAUCUGAGCAUAAUGCACAGUGUGAAAGUAUAUUUUAAAAGUUUUAGAGCAGAAAUGAAAGGAAGUAAAGUAUAUUUGGAAAAGGGCCAAGCAUGCAACUUGGGAGAUUCAAGUGCCUCCCCUUGACUUGGGGUUUAUAUGUCGGUAUGAUUCCAGGGUUUGCGUUUCUUCUUCCCGAUUCUUCCCUUGGGGUGGGCUGUCUGCGUGCGCAGUGGCCUGCCAGGACUUGGGAGGGGCCGCAUGUACAGUGUGUUUACCGAAAUUGUGCACAUGCUCAUUUGAGGCAUUUUUCCCUUAGCGGUCACGUAUUCCUAGAAGAAGGUCAUAUACCAAUUAAACUGCCAUCUUGUCUCUUAGCGUGCAUGCCUGGGCCCACUCACCCAGUUCCUGAGAUUUUAUUGGGAAGUGGUUGCUCAUCAGCUUCAGGUGUUUUCUAUCUACUGAGAGUUGGCAUGUUCCCUGGCAACAGCUGUGACCAAUUAUAACUUUAGAGAGACAGUUUAACAACUGCCUGACCAUCACCUGAUAGUCACCUGACGUUCUUGGUAGAGGGGGGCCUCUUCUGCCCUGCUCAUAUCUGCCCAACUACCUACUCUAACAAUUAUACUUUAAGAUUGAUCCUUUCCCUUCCAUGAGCAGCAAUCACUUUCCUGAUCUUCUCAUUUCUUGUCCUGAGAACUUGGCUUGACUUUCCAUCUGUCAGGGGUACAUGGGUUGUUGGGCCUGUGUAUACAGGUGGCCAAUCAAAAGGCUAGGAGCCUCAAGAAUAUGGCUAGACAGAAAUGGAGCUGCAUCCCAUUUGCAGCUAGCAAAAUAUGGCCAGACAGAAAUGUGGGUUGAACCUUAUUUGCGGCUAGACUGAUCGUGAUACAGGAGAGAUAAAGAAAUUAUUUAGGCAGAUAGUGAUGGCAAAGAGUCCUUGGCAGAACUUCCCUUCUAACAAAAAGCAGCCCUCGAAAUCAUGUCUUUUCUAACAAAGAGCAGCCUGAGAAAUAGGGAUGCAAAACAUAAAAAAGGAAGCUGGAAGCUUGCACGGAGGAAUGCCAGCAACUGCACCAACAGAAAAGGGCUACCUGGGAGACAGGCAUGUCUGCCAUGGAAGCUCCAUCUUCCCUUUUUUGUUAGCACACGCACAGUAAGAAUGAAAUGGGCAACAUGGAGAAGCUCAGGCAGAGAAUCCACCUGCAUAAUAAAAGAUUGGGGUGGGGGCUGCCAGAGAUUCACACCCUAUGCAGAUGGCACACCUGGUCCUAACUGAUUUUUUUUGUCCUAUGUAGAUCAGACAUCGCCUCCCUCUUAAGUCAUUUAUAAAAACCACUGCAUUUCACCACAAAUUGGCAACCCAUUUUUCCCAGACACCUCUGUGUAGCAGAGAGCUAUUCUCUUUCUUUUGCCUGUUAAAUUUCCACUCUUAACCUUACUCUUUGUAUGUCUGCAUCCUUGCUCUCCAUGGCCAAGAGAAAACGGACCUCAGAUGUCACCCCAGACAAUGAGGCCGCUUCAAUUGUUGCAGCUCUCAAAGCAUUAUUUAAAUCUCUGGGGUUUUUGGCUGUUUUUUGGGAGUGGUUCAUGAAGAGCUGAUCUACAGGGCUCCCAAAUUAGGCCCACCCAGGGAUGCCUUCAAUAGGCAUAAGUUUCUAAAAGUAUUUCAGAAAAAAUUUAUUGCAUCUUUUGAAUGGCUUUUUACAAAAUACCAAAUAAAAAGCUUAAGUGAUUGAUAAGAAAAUUAAAUCUACUUAUCUUUUUGUUUAGCCCUGUUCAUUGAAGAACUCCAUCCUAAAGUCAGUAAUCUAAUUAAGAAACAAGCUAAAUUGAAAAGACUGCCCGUUGAACUAACUUGGUCUCCAAAAUAUAACUUUCUGCAUUUAGCUAGCUAUUUUGAAAUUCCUUGUAAAAAAAUAAAUUUACAUCUAUAAACGAAAUCUGCAUUUCUAAAGGUAUCUUCCUUUCCGUACCUAAACAACAAUAGGAAAGACAUUGGCUUAAAGCUUACAUAACAAAUUUUACUCUUGUUUAAGGUAAUUUUCCUCACCAUCUUGUCUUAACUGAGUCUUUUACCUAUGCCCUUCUUUAUCGCAGCAAAUAAUGGCAUUUAGACCUAAGUUCUAUAAAUUUUCCACCUUGUUUCACACAAACGUCAUGCCUUUGGAAAUGCACAUUUAAGGUCACCUACCUAACAAUUGUUUAGAGCAAGGAAUAAGCAAUCAUAAGAUUGAUAGUCUAAAGUGGAGAGAGAGAGAUCUUGAAAACUAGAAAAUGCAGAAUAUUUAUUUAUUUUUGGAACAGGGUCUCACUCUGUUACCCAGGCUGGAGUACAGUGGCACAAUCAUAGCUCACUGUAACCUUGAACUUCCAGGCUCAAGCAAGUCUCUCACUUCAGCCUCUGGAGUAGCUGGGACUACAGGAGCACACCACCAUGCCCAGCUAAUUUUAUUUUUUUGUAGAGACGGGGCCUCACUUUGUUGCCCAGGCUGGCUUUGAACUCCUGGCCUCAAGUGAUCCUCCCACCUGAGCCUCCAAAAGGGCUGAGAUUAUAGGUACGAAAAAAUUAAUAAAUCUCAGGACCCCAAAAUCACUAAGCCAAAGAGAAAAGUCAGCCUGGGAACUGCAAAGGGCAAACCUGCCUCCCAUUCUAUUCCUAAAUAGGAUGGCUACAAAGAUAAAAACCUACAUACCUCCCUCACAAUUUGUCCACAAAAUAAUUCCUUGUGGACAAAGGACAGACAGAACUCAAAGUCAUCCCUCUGCUCCCAGGAGACAAAUGCACAGCUGAUUGCCUCCUUUGAUUCAGUGGAAGGCUAAUCAGAAACCCAAAAUAAUGCAACCGUUUGUUCUUUGUCUACCUGUGACCUGGAAGCCCCCUCCCCACUUUGAGUUGUCCCACCUUUCCAGACUGAACCAAUGUACAUCUUACAUAUAUUGAUUGAUGUCUCAUGUCGCCCUAAAAUGUAUAAAACCAAGCUGCGCCCUGACCACCUUGGACACCUGUUGUUAGGACCUUCUGAGGCUGUAUCAUGGGUGCAUCCUUAACUUUGGCAAAAUAAACUUCCUAAAUUGAUUGA